GGGGCUAAACAUAUUACCGAAGCUGUGGAUUGUCCUUUGGACAAUGGUAGGAGAGCGUUCUAAGGGCGUCGAAGCAUGAUCGCAAGGACAUGUGGAGCGCUUAGAAGUGAGAAUGCCGGUGUGAGUAGCGAAAGACGGGUGAGAAUCCCGUCCACCGAUUGACUAAGGUUUCCAGAGGAAGGCUCGUCCGCUCUGGGUUAGUCGGGUCCUAAGCUGAGGCCGACAGGCGUAGGCGAUGGAUAACAGGUUGAUAUUCCUGUACCACCUAGUAUCGUUUUAAUCGAUGGGGGGACGCAGUAGGAUAGGCGAAGCGUGCUGUUGGAGUGCACGUCCAAGCAGUAAGGCUGAGUGUUAGGCAAAUCCGGCACUCAUAAGGCUGAGCUGUGAUGGGGAGAGGAAAUUGUUUCCUCGAGUCGUUGAUUUCACACUGCCGAGAAAAGCCUCUAGAUAGAUAACAGGUGCCCGUACCGCAAACCGACACAGGUAGUCAAGAUGAGAAUUCUAAGGUGAGCGAGCGAACUCUCGUUAAGGAACUCGGCAAAAUGACCCCGUAACUUCGGGAGAAGGGGUGCUCUUUAGGGUUCACGCCCAGAAGAGCCGCAGUGAAUAGGCCCAAGCGACUGUUUAUCAAAAACACAGGUCUCUGCUAAACCGUAAGGUGAUGUAUAGGGGCUGACGCCUGCC
rnacentral:rRNA from 1 species